GCGCUUGUAGCUCAGAUGGUCAGAGCCAUGGACUCAUAAUCCAUAGGUCACUGGUUCAAAUCCAGUCAGGCGUACCA
rnacentral:tRNA from 1 species